ACCAUAUUGUAUGGGUAUCAUACUCUGUCCUCGCUACAUAACAACAUGAAGACCACCUGAACAUAUGGAUGCAUUGGAGCAUGGACCUAAAGAAGAGCGAGCUCUUCUAAGAGAACGGUGAGUGCGUGAUAUAGAAUUGUAUAGAAUCUACCGUUAUCUUCAACCGUUAGCCUUCUAGCUGUUACGUUACCCCAGCCAGCCAGUCCAAGAUGUAUUCAAUUGUUGUUUUCACGGAAAAAAAUGAGACAGAGGUUAUACCAAGUGACUGGCUGAGCAUCGAUAAAAAAAUUUCCUUUUGGCCCCCAUAUAAUACUACUAAAUGUAGAAAAGCGGUUGAAAAAAAUGAAACCCCUGAUGAAGAAUGGGAAGAAUAUAUAACUGAAUGGGUGGCUGAGUAUGAUUCCUAUGAAAAAGCCCGAAGGAAGCUCGUGAAGUUCUGCAAAGGCAAUGGUUUGGAGUCGACAGACGAGGACAGUGUGCGGAAAAGAGUACCAUCAUCGAAAUAUGUUGGAUUUAGGUCUACAUCAGCCCCUCCAUCUGCAGCCUCAGGAAGACCUCCAGUUCAGGCCUCAACAAGUAGGCUCCACACAGAGACAAUGGAAAGACCAAAAAGAAAUUCUGCAAUAAUGGAGCCAAAAGCCAGACCUUGCCAGCCAUACCACCAUUUCCAUCAUCAACACCAGAGACAGUCCCAGAUCUAAGACAAGAUGAAAGAGAACUCCGACUCUUUCAGAUGCUAGAGGAGAUAAAAGGCCAAGUCAGACAAAAUU